GGCCGAGAGGGGGGGUGCGACCCUCGGGGCCGCGGGAGGUUUCCCCCGGCCGCGCGAAGCCACCACCGAGAGGAGCGUCUCCCAGAGAGGCCGGAAGCCGGAGGCUUCCGCCCUCGGUGGCUACGCCGCUUCCGGCCGGAUGGGGUGGUCGCGGUGAGGCCGGUGCGCUCCCCGAGGGCCGGCCCGGCGGCCCGGGCUGAUGUCCGCAGCGCCCGGGUCUCACGUCUCUCCGGCUGCUGCCGAGGUUUAGGAACGGAGUUCCGAGAUGAAGGCGGCGGCGCCGGGAAGACGCCGGUUUGGGAGCAGCAGGUUUGACGUCAGAAUUCACCGGCAUCGCCCGUUUUCCUUCGGAAUUCGUAUUUCCGUGCUUCACUUGGUGGGUUUCCAGAUGAUGGGUCAGCUUUAACCCCAGUAAAGCCUUCAGCAGCCUUUCGCAUUUGUGUACGCUAAUGACUCGUCUUGGCUCAGGAGUAGCCCGAAAAACACCCCCAAAGCCAGUCUCCCCGAAGCAGAGCCUACCACAUACUCCAGCCUGUGCCCUAAUACGUGUUGACUCGGUGACAGCCCGCAGUGGCUGCAGCCUUGGCUCCCGACCCUGAAAGAGCAGGACCGCGCUUGGAGCCAAGAAUGUGUGCUGUGCCGGAAGAACCCCCAACAACCAGGACGUAGCCACUGCUGCUCCUGACUUUGGGCGUUUCUGUUACCUGGGGACGCCUGCACCCUGGGAGGCCUCUGCCCCAACUCUAGGACCUCUGGCGGCAGUGGCGGAUGUCCCGCCGAGGAGCAGAUCCUGACCAUCGUGCCCGCGGAGCUCCAGGCCCGGGUGUUAGAGCAUCAGCCAGAGAGCAGGGAGGAGGCGGCGAUCCCGUGGGGGCUUUGCAGAGAGAGCUCCACGAAACAGGUUGUAGCCAGGACAGGUGGAAUAGGAGUGUGUUCAGAAUUUCCUCACCAGGCAGCACAGAAGCCACCAGCUAUUCUAGGCCAAGAAACAUGUAGCCUUCCAGGCCAUUCGUGAACAAGGUAAGCGUCAGGAUCCAUCUUGAGAGAGGGUGGCUGAAAGCUGUGCCAGCUAUCUAGGUUGAAAAGCAUUCGGAACACCUGAAACAGAAACACGGUGCUGAAUCCAACUGAGUAUCUGUCCUCUCAAGUACAGCAUUCCAGCUUGGGCAGCACUAGCAGAGGACGUGAUACGGAAUAACAUAACGCUGUCGUCCCUGUUAUCUGACUCGUGAGGAAGCUGCACAGCAUUCCUAACCUCACUGAACAACCUUUUCAGACUGCUCUCAUAAAGUUUAUCUUUACUUAAAGCUAUUUAUGUUUUCAUCAUAUGUAAUCAUAGCCUAACCUCCACUGUACAUUUAGUACUUGCUCUGUAAAGCAGAACUCACUCUUUUGUAUUAAAAUGACCUUUUCUGAA